rnacentral:lncRNA from 1 species
AUGGGGGAGGGUCCGCGUCCACGGGGGAGGGUCCGCGUCCACCCGGGGAGGGUCCGCGUCCAUGGGGGAGGGUCCGCGUCCACCCGGGGAGGGUCCGCGUCCAUGGGGGAGGGUCCGAGUCCACCCGGGGAGGGUCCACGUCCACGGGGGAGGGUCCGCGUCCACCCGGGGAGGGUCCGCGUCCACCGGGGAGGGUCCUCGUCCACCCGGGGAGGGUCCGCGUCCACGGGGGAGGGUCCGCGUCCACCGGGGAGGGUCCGCGUCCACGGGGGAGGGUCCGCGUCCACCCGGGGAGGGUCCGCGUCCACGGGGGAGGGUCCGCGUCCAUCGGGGAGGGUCCGCGUCCACGGGGGAGGGUCCGCGUCCACGGGGGAGGGUCCACGUCCACCCGGGGAGGGUCCGCGUCCACCGGGGAGGGUCCUCGUCCACCCGGGGAGGGUCCGCGUCCACGGGGGAGGGUCCGCGUCCACCGGGGAGGGUCCGCGUCCACGGGGGAGGGGUCCGCGUCCACCCGGGGAGGGUCCGCGUCCACGGGGGAGGGUCCGCGUCCAUCGGGGAGGGUCCGCGUCCACGGGGGAGGGUCCGCGUCCACGGGGGAGGGUCCACGUCCACCCGGGGAGGGUCCGCGUCCACCCGGGGAGGGUCCGCGUCCACCGGGGAGGGUCCGCGUCCACGGGGGAGGGUCCACGUCCACCCGGGGAGGGUCCACGUCCACCCGGGGAGGGUCCGCGUCCACGGGGGAGGGUCCGCGUCCACCGGGGAGGGUCCGCGUCCACGGGGGAGGGUCCGCGUCCACCGGGGAGGGUCCGCGUCCACCCGGAGAAGGUCCGCGUCCACCGGGGAGGGUCCGCGUUCCUCUGCGAGCAGGAGGGUGGUUGGCUAAGCCCGGACGCGACACGCACGAUUUCACUAACUCCGCGUAUCCUCCGUACAGAACCUCCUCCCCGCAGAGGGGGGCCCUGGGACCCCUGCCCGCGAAUACGGGGCCUCUGUCGCCCCCGGCCUCCCGGGGGGGGGGUCCCGCUGGGGACAGGGACCUUGGCGACAGUGACAGGGCCACGGCGCAGACGCGGCCCCCGCCAGGCCCCGAAAGCCCGCGGAGCCCCCGGGCCCGGCUGA